GUAGGUGAACCUGCGGAAGGAUCAUUACCGAGUUCAUGCCCUUCGGGGUAGAUCUCCCACCCUUUGUAUACUAUACCUUUGUUGCUUUGGCGGGCCGCCUAGCUACUGGCUUCGGCUGGUAAGUGCCCGCCAGAGGACCCAAAACCCUGAAUAUUAGUGUCGUCUGAGUAAAAAGUUUAAUAUUUAAAACUUUCAACAACGGAUCUCUUGGCUCUG
rnacentral:misc_RNA from 1 species